rnacentral:lncRNA from 10 species
UGACCCCCUCGCAACAGCUUGUGUGUCCUUGCAGCGCCGCGGGUGCCACCUGGUCUCCGCCUCAGCGCUGCCUCGGCUCCUUCGGUUCCCACCAGCGGGAACGACCGUCCCCACUUUCAGCUUAAACUCAUCUGUCCUUCUGGAUCCAGCUCAGAGGUCUCUUUGUGAUGCCCUCCUGGAACUUCCCCCCUAGUAAUCCUUCCUUUGUAUUCCCGUGGCUCUUUGAUAAUAAUGGUUGGAGUCCUGAACCCGACCCUUUGUAUCGGACCGUGUUUGUCAUCUCCAGUGCUUUAUGAAGGCCUUGAAAGCAAGGUUCAGCCGUCUGUAUUGGUCAUCUUCCCAUUGCCAGUGCCUACGAAGGGCUUGACCCAUUCAUUGUUAGACGCUCAGUAAGUGUGUAUUGAGGCAGCCCUCUGUGCCACUCCAGGGCUCUUUCCACUAAAUCAUGAGUAUGUUGGUUUACCAGAUGGAAUGAGUAGCCUCUUCUUUGGAUACAUAAACACCCGAUGGAUAUUGUGGGUCACUGUGGAGGGAGAAUGAACGUAUGGGAUCCCUGACCUGUGGUUACUGGAAAACAGUUGACAUUUAGAGAGAGGCUGAAUUCUUGGGCUUCCCGUAGCCCCCAUCCUGAGUGUGCCAACAGGGACUAGAAGCAUCUCUAGUCUGCAAAGCGAGGAACAAGUGAUACUCUGUCCAAUUUUUCCAAUAUUGUUAUACUCAUGAAUAGAGAUUAAUGAAAUUGAAGAGCAUAUUCAAGAGAAAGACUAAAGGAGAAGUCGUCUGCCCCGUGGACAGGCAGCUUGAGUGGUGCUUGAGAAAAUGUACAUGAAAUUGCUUGUUAAAAAAUAUUCACGCCUGUAAUCCCAGCUCUUUUGGGAGGCCGAGGCGGGCAGAUUACUAGGUCAGGAGAUCGAGACCAUCCUGGCUAACACGGUGAAACCCCGUCCCUACUAAAAAUACAAAAACAAAAUUAGCCGGGCGUGGCGGCGGGCGCCUGUGGUCUCAGCCUCCCAAGUAGCUGGGAUUACGGCAUGUGCCACCACACCCUGCUAAUUUUGUAUUUUUAGUAGAGACGAGGUUUCACCAUGUUGGUCAGGCUGGUCUUGGACUCCUGACCUCAAGUGAUCCACCGCCUCGGCCUCCCAAAGUGCUGGAUUACAGGCAUGAGCCACCGCACCCAGCCGUCUUUUUUUUCCCAUCAGGGUGGAGAUUUUGACAUCUGGAACAGUACACAGCACAUUUAGAUGCUCAAUACUUGUGGAGUAAAUAAAUGAAUGACUCAU